CGGGGGGGUAAGCGUUGUUCGGAAUUACUGGGCGUAAAGGGCUCGUAGGCGGCCAACUAAGUCGGACGUGAAAUCCCUCAGCUUAACUGGGGAACUGCGUCUGAUACUGGAUGGCUUGGAUUUGGGAGAGGGAUGCGGAAUUCCAGGUGUAGCGGUGAAAUGCGUAGAUAUCUGGAGGAACACCGGUGGCGAAGGCGGCAUCCUGGACCAACAUUGACGCUGAGGAGCGAAAGCCAGGGGAGCAAACGGGAUUAGAUACCCCGGUAGUCCUGGCCCUAAACGAUGAAUGCUUGGUGUGGCGGGUAUCGAUCCCUGCCGUGCCGAAGCUAACGCAUUAAGCAUUCCGCCUGGGGAGUACGGUCGCAAGGCUG
rnacentral:rRNA from 1 species